AUGAAGCAAAUAUGAGAGACCCUAAAGGGCGCCGAAGGGGUAAAUUAAAUUUACCGGAUUUAAUGAUACUCUCAGGCAAAAGUAUUAUUUGCUGACA
rnacentral:ncRNA from 1 species